UACGUAGGGUGCGAGCGUUAAUCGGAAUUACUGGGCGUAAAGCGUGCGCAGGCGGUUUUGUAAGCCAGAUGUGAAAGCCCCGGGCUUAACCUGGGAAUGGCAUUUGGGACUGCAAGGCUUGAGUGCGGCAGAGGAGACUGGAAUUCCUGGUGUAGCAGUGAAAUUCGUAGAUAUUCGGAAGAACACCAGUGGCGAAGGCGACUACCUGGCCUGUUCUUGACGCUGAGGCGCGAAAGCUAGGGGAGCAAACGGGG
rnacentral:rRNA from 1 species